AUCAUAUCCUUCAAAAUCUGGUAGAGAUAUGGAAGUUCAUAUUGUUGCAAGAGAGGUCACGAAGCCCUCUUCACCAGCAAUUCAACAUAAAAAACCCUACAAAUUUUCUUUUUUCGACCAGCUUACUCCUGCAACUUAUGUCCCUAUUGUUUACUUCUACCCCAAGAAGAAUAAUUCUGAACCCAAUCUCACCACUCAAACCCUAACCCACUUAAAGAAAUCUCUUUCUCAAACCCUUGAUCUCUACUAUCCCUUCUCUGGAAGAACAAAUGAUAACCUCUAUGUUGAUCGUUUCGAUGAAGGGGUUCCAUUCCUUGAAGCUAAAGUGAAUUGUUCCAUGUCCGAAUUCCUUAAGCGACAUGACACUGAGUCGUUGAAUCGUUUCCUUCCAUGCCAACCCUUUAGCAAGGAAGUGAACAUGAACAUACCCUUGUCAGCAUUUCAAGUGAGCAUAUUUACUUGUGGAGGAAUAGCUCUGGGCUGGUGCUUGUCACACAAGCUCAUUGAUGGAUCAACAGCUUCAGCUUUCGUUACUACUUGGGCUUCUAUAUUUCGUGGAGAUCUUCAGGAUGUUAUAAAGCCAGAUCUAAAAGAGGCAUCGCUGGUUUUCCCUCCAAAAAUUUCAUUUCCACAAAACCAUUUAUCUCUAAUGGAAAGCUUGUGGUUCACUGAAGCCAAUUACGUUACAAGGAGAUUUGUGUUUAAUGCCAAAGCCAUAGCCACUCUGAGGGAUAAAGCAAAAGGCAAACUUGCGGCUCCACCAAGUCGCAUUGAGACUCUGUCAUGUUUCAUUUGGAAAUGUGGCAUGACUGCAACGAAGCAAAUAUCAGGUGUCACAAAGCCAUCGAUUUUGGUUGAAGCAGUGAAUCUCCGGCCAAAUACGAAGCCACCCAUGUCCGAUGCCUCCUCUGGGAAUUUGUUCUGGUGGGCAAUUGCAGUUGCUAACCCCACAGAUACAAACACAGAGUUUCCUGAACUGGUGAGCCUGUUAAGUGAAGCCAUUGCACUAUAUAAAAGUGAUUACACGCAUACUCUACAAGGUGAAUAUGGGUUUGAAACCGUGUCUGAGUACUGUAACCAGCUACAAGAGUUAUUUUCCCUGGAAAAGCCGGAUAUAUUUGCAUUUACGAGCUGGAAAAAGAUGCGUUUCACUCGUCCCAACUUUGGAUGGGGAGAGCCCUUUUGGGUUGGUGUCAUGGGAAAAGCUGGCCCUGAGUUCAGAAACCUCACAGUGUUCGUUGACGCAACAGAUGGUGAAGGGAUAGAGGCAUGGAUCACCUUAGAUGAGCAAAGAAUGGCCAUGCUGCAACGUGAUCCUGAGUUCUUAGCAUUUGCUUCUCCAAAUCCAAGGAUUUCUAGCCUGUAACUUGUUCUUCAAAGAUUAAUUAAUUACUAUAUAUGUCAUUAUAUAGCAGGCUAGCUAGGUAUGCUUAUUUCUAGUAAUCAUUUAAGAUAGUUAAUUUCCUUAAUUAGCUCUCUAUGUUAUGAAUACAGAGCAAUAAUUAAUGUGGUUUCUAAGUUAGCAUGUAUGCUUAUUGAGAAGCUAGUUAAUUUUACCGUUGAAAGUUGUAAUUUCACAGCUCCUUCGCUGUAUUAUUAUGGAUGCUAAUUAAUAAGCAGCA
rnacentral:misc_RNA from 1 species